rnacentral:lncRNA from 1 species
CGGUCUUUUCACCUCCGAAUAAAUAUGCUCUUAUCUGGCAGUUAGCUAUCUGGAGGAUAAAUAUUUAUUCGCCAGAUAAAAUGUACCCGUCUUUUCACGUCAAUUUAUGUUCCAGUUAGUUAUCCGGUAGAUAAGCUUAAAACUUUAACUUAACCUAACAUAAUUAGAUUCAAAGUAUUUCAAAGAUGAUUUUAUCGAUUUUAUUUCCAUUUUGGAAGAAGGAAUGAAGGAAAUAAGGAAAACAUUGAUUAUGCUGAAAUAGUUUACUGGAGAGCUUGAACAAGAGGUAAAUCCAUUUUAAAUUAGAGGAAAACUGUUGAUUUGUAUGUAAAAUAGAAGACAAAGACAAGUUUAAAUAAAGACAAGCUAGCUAAUGAAACAGAUGCAGUGAUAUGACAAACACCUAGAAGAUGGAAUCCUGUGUUCUCAAAGAAAAAGCUAGUUCCAGAAAUAAGCUACCAAUAAUAAACUAGAGAAUGUAUUACAAGAAAGAACAACGCUAAUACCCAACAUAGCUCAAUUGCUUCAGAUAGAAAAAGAGGAGGAAAGGGUAGAACACAAGCGUGCCAGAGAAAAUUAAAGGGCAGAAGAGACACAAAAAUUCAUUGAUUUAUUAAAUUUAAUAAUUAAAUUAUACAAAGGACAAUUAAAUAAAGAAUAAAAAAUUA